rnacentral:rRNA from 1 species
CAGCCGCCGCGGUAAUACGAAGGGCGCAAGCGUUACUCGGAAUUACUGGGCGUAAAGCGUGCGUAGGUGGUGGUUUAAGUCCGUUGUGAAAGCCCUGGGCUCAACCUGGGAAUUGCAGUGGAUACUGGGUCACUAGAGUGUGGUAGAGGAUAGUGGAAUUUCCGGUGUAGCAGUGAAAUGCGUAGAGAUCGGAAGGAACAUCUGUGGCGAAGGCGACUAUCUGGGCCAACACUGACACUGAGGCACGAAAGCGUGGGGAGCAAACAGGAUUAGAUACCCCUGUAGUCCCUGUCUCUUAUAC